UGCAAGUCGAACGGCAGCACGGACUUCGGUCUGGUGGCGAGUGGCGAACGGGUGAGUAAUACAUCGGAAUGUACCCAGUAAUGGGGGAUAACGAAUCGAAAGAUUCGCUAAUACCGCAUACGCCCUACGGGGGAAAGAGGGGGAUCGCAAGACCUCUUGUUAUUGGAGCAGCCGAUGGCUGAUUAGCUAGUUGGUGAGGUAAAGGCUCACCAAGGCGACGAUCAGUAGCGGGUCUUAGAGGACGAUCCGCCACACUGGAACUGAGACACGGUCCAGACUCCUACGGGAGGCAGCAGUGGGGAAUCUUGGACAAUGGGCGAAAGCCUGAUCCAGCAAUGCCGCGUGCGUGAAGAAGGCCUUCGGGUUGUAAAGCGCUUUUGUCAGGGAGCAAGGAGAUGUGGCUAAUAUCCACAGUGAGAGAGAGUACCUGAAGAAUAAGGACCGGCUAACUACGUGCCAGCAGCCGCGGUAAUACGUAGGGUCCAAGCGUUAAUCGGAAUUACUGGGCGUAAAGCGUGCGCAGGUGGUCUGUUAAGCACGAUGUGAAAUCCCCGGGCUCAACCUGGGAAUUGCAUUGUGAACUGUCAGACUAGAGUACGGCAGAGGGGGGUGGAAUUCCACGUGUAGCAGUGAAAUGCGUAGAGAUGUGGAGGAACACCGAUGGCGAAGGCAACCCCCUGGGCUGAUACUGACACUCAUG
rnacentral:rRNA from 1 species